GAUGAACGCUGGCGGCGUGCCUAAUACAUGCAAGUCGAGCGAACGGACGAGAAGCUUGCUUCUCUGAUGUUAGCGGCGGACGGGUGAGUAACACGUGGAUAACCUACCUAUAAGACUGGGAUAACUUCGGGAAACCGUAGCUAAUACCGGAUAAUAUUUUGAACCGCAUGGUUCAAAAGUGAAAGACGGUCUUGCUGUCACUUAUAGAUGGAUCCGCGCUGCAUUAGCUAGUUGGUAAGGUAACGGCUUACCAAGGCAACGAUGCAUAGCCGACCUGAGAGGGGGAUCGGCCACACUGGAACUGAGACACGGUCCAGACUCCUACGGGAGGCAGCAGUAGGGAAUCUUCCGCAAUGGGCGAAAGCCUGACGGAGCAACGCCGCGUGAGUGAUGAAGGUCUUCGGAUCGGAAAACUCUGUUAUUAGGGAAGAACAUAUGUGGAAGUAACUGUGCACAUCUUGACGGUACCUAAUCAGAAAGCCACGGCUAACUACGUG
rnacentral:rRNA from 1 species